UGAUGAGCCUAAGGAUGAUGCCCCGCAGCCUCCUCCCCCGCCCAAACAUUACACAAGGGUUAAAAAAUGCAAAAUUGGCGAACCUUGAGACUGGAUUUGUUGGUAGAGCAAGUUAUUGAUGGGCUUGAUAAAGUUGUGAUGACAAUGAAGAAGGGUACCACUUACUAGGAAGCAAUGCUUAUUGUUGAUCGCUGCUGGUUGUUUAACACACUUUUU